GAAGUCAUUCAUUUGUGAUGCCAUGGAAGUAUUGUUUGAAGUUUCCUUGCUGUCAAGACUUUUUUUUCAACAUCUAUGAGGUGGCAAGCAAGGUAACUGCAGUUCAUAUCAGGUAUAAUGUGAAUGUAGGUCCAUCAUCUCAUCAUCCUUUACGCCCUUUCUUUCCCUAAUAUUUUACAGCAAACCAACAGAUCAGCUAACCACAAGCUUAGUACGUGGUAUACUGCAUAAAUAUCUAGCUUGGUAGAAAGCAUGGUCAGUAGAGUGUUUUCUAACCAUGCACUAGCAGUGCCCACUCCAUGCUACUGUUAUGUACACAGACGAGAAGUUUGUUUGAGAAAGAGUAUGCUUGCUGCCUUUCAUCUAAUAUCAUAUGUUUCUGUUUCCUAUGUGAAACUGAUGGUUCACGUCUCUAACUUCUACUGCUUUAUAGCUUUGCACAAAAGUUUUUGUAACCAUGAUGCUGAUAUACCUAUGAUUGUUACUUCAUGUGCUACUACAUUAGUAGGGAGAUUUUUAUAAAGGUACCAGAAUUUAUCUUCUUCCACAUUAAGUCAAUAUUUAGUAAUGGAGUUCUAUUUUUGUUUGCAAACCAGUUCAUUCGUCGCAAGGAAGAAAAUCUACUCUGGAUAGUUGAUUUAGUGUUUCUUGAACAUGGCCAGGGCAAUGGAUAAAAUCUACUCUGGAUAGUUGACAGAGGGAGUACAUGCUAAGUUGACUUUUUUUCCUGUGGAUUUGCUUAUCGUGAAGAUGCUUGCAAGGAUGCAGAGGGAGCGGAUCAUUUGGAGAGAUAGGAUGCCACUGUUUGGUGUUUUUAUGCAUUUUGGUUUGCUUGUAACUGUGUUUGCACUAGCUGGGAGUAAGUGACUUCAAGAAGUGUAGGUGUUUUAAUUGAAGGCAUGAAAAGCCAUGACAAUAUGUAUGCUCUUACAGGAUGUGCUCUAAUGCUGCUGGUUUAUUAUAAAUCUUGGAUUAGUAAUGAUGUGUAAUGCUGCUGGUUUAUUGCAAAUAUGUGUUUGUUUUAGUUGGAAUUGUAUGCAUAGAAUGGAAUUGGUGGAUUUUAUUUUUUAAUUCCUAAUUAGUUAGUAG
rnacentral:lncRNA from 1 species